ensembl:lncRNA
UUUUUUUUUUUACACUAAGCCUCAUAAAUACAGCUGAGAAAGCAUUUAUCUGAAAGUGGAAAAUGAGGGCUUAGCUAGAGCUGUGCAAUCUUUUUGUAAUGAAACCCAGAACUAGCCUGAUUUGGGAGAGCUGCUAGAGGUCUGACAUUCAGGCCAGUUCUGCUAAACCCUCAGUGAACACAGUGGAUUUACAGUUUCAGAUGAAAACCACAUACAGCUCAGCAGAGAUUUUGACUGAAUGAUGCUUUCGGCUUUUGCUCAAACUUGAAACUUAUUGGGUGUGAACACACAAAACCCUGAACAUCCAAGAAAAAAAAAAAAGGCUGGCACAAAUACCACGUGGACAGAAACCAUGCAAGACUUGCAGAAAUCCAGCACUGCAAGCAGUAGUUUGGGAAAAGAUAUGUUGGGCAUUACAGAUGUAGAGAUCUCAGAGCUCUGCCACCACCUGAAGCACUGGACAGAGGGGUGCAGCCAGGGGAGCUCCAGCUAACCAGAGCAGGCACCACAUGACAACUGCAGUUUAUCCAGAUUGUUUCCCAGAGCACUGACAUUAACACUGCCUUUUAUAAUGUGUGCAUUGUAUAGUAGGUGGUGAUUUGGUGGUUUGGGAAGUAGCCAAGGAAAGAGACUCAAAGUAUAGUGAACUUCCUUCCAAAAUUGAUGUUGAAAUUUGGCUACCUGAAACACAUUACAAGUCAUGGCUAAAUCAGUAGGGUAUUAAAAAGGAAAUGACUCUUGAGCAGAGAAGUUUUGCUUUUCCCCUUUCUUGCAUUGUAAUUCUCUGUCCAGCCCUAAAGUGACUACUAAGCUAAAGGAAAUUAAAGAAAAGAUGAAUAGAAAAAAAUUUCAAGCUGGGUCAAAUUCAUCCCCAGUGUAACUUAGCUCAAGUAGAGUUAAAUCAAUGGAGUUCCACCAGGGAUGAAUUUGGCUUAUUGUCAAAAGGAAAUGAAGCAACUGUGCCCUCAUUUACAGCUAUCAGCUUAAACAGAAAUUUCAUUAUAAGGGAAUUUCUGAAAACAAUUCCUAGGUAAAAGAAAAUUGCUAAGGUUGAACAGCAUGUGUGUUUGAAAAUUCCCUGGAGACCAAAACUGUCUGCUUACUAGGUAGAUACACAAUGCCAGCUAAUUGAGAGCUCACAUUGUUCCAAAGGUCUUAAAAAAAAAUCAGAGAAGACUAUAAAAUGAAUAAGCAGAUUGACUUAUGAAAUCUUCUUUCUUUGUUUUCCCUGUAGUGAAUUUUAAAUACUCAACCGCAAAAACAGUGUUAAAUUAAAAGUAGGAGGGCAAUUGCAGAUAAAAACAAAGUCAGUAAUAGAACUUUUGGUUACCUUCAUAUUCUUUAUUUUAUUUUCCCAAUUUAGUUGUAAAAGUAAGGUAGAAUUUCUAAGCUGCACACUUCUGCCAUUUAUGUUCUCCAGAGUAUGAUCUGAAGAGAUCCUGUGAAGCUCUUCUUUAUUUUCAAAUAAAAUACUGAAUUAAAUCUUACAUUUAAUACUGACAUUUCCAAAUAGAUUCCUUCCUAUAUAUUUUACUGUAAAGCUAUAAUAUCAUUAAGAUGUAGUUCUGUUCUAAGAGGAAUUACGGAUGAGAGUCCAGUGAUCUGUUAUAGGUUAAGAUAAAACUAGGUUUAAAACACCCCAGUCUUGACUUUACAGUUUUGGUUUUGAAUUGGCAGCAAAAGUUUCAAUCAGAAUGCAAAAUAUUUGCAAGAGAUUUUACACUUGUUGUGAAGGAUGUUUUGAACACCUUUAGAAACAGCCUAAAAAUUGCACGUGAAGUGAUAAUUCGGAAUAUAUUUCUCAUUAAAACCUAUGAGCGCAAUGAAGCUAGAACUAAACAUAUUUUCCAAGAUGCUUUUUUCCUUAAAAUGCUGAGGAUUCUGAGAUGAUGAUGAUAUUUUGUGAAUGUGCCAUGACCACAACUUAGCUUGUCCUUAAAAAUAUCUGCUCCUUGAAGGCUUGUGAAAAUCCUGAUCUGAAACCUUAAUCUAAUUGUCAGUAACUUUGAGCAAGGGUCAGCUUCAGGUUGACAACACCACCAGAGGCAAGUCCAUCAGAGUCACCUAACCUAAAAGGUAACUUUUAAAAAGCUUCAGCUGCUUUAGAACUGCAUAUGGAAAAGAUAUUAAUUCAGCCAAUUCUGAUGCAGUAGGAGUGCUGAGUAUAUCCUGAAUGUUCUCACAUAGCAAAUGCCAAAGAAAAUACUCUUCAGACUUCUUAAGAGCAGGUAAUAAGUCACUGGAAGAAGCCAUUUUUCUUAGGCCUAGGUCUUAUAUAAUCCAAGACCUUGGUAAGGUACUUGGAUAAUAGCAGAAAUGAGCAUUAAGUCAUUUUAGACUAGAUGACUUUCUCUAGCCAGCUAAUGCUGCAAGAGUGGUACAAGGAAAUUAAAGGCUCUAUUAGUUGUUCACAUUCACAGGCUAACUCUAAGGCUUCAAAUCAGGAUCUUUGUCUGCCAAUCCAUUUAGAUGUGUUUGUGAAUAACACUGCUCACCUGUGUCACAGCAUAUGUCGCAGUUGAGGCAGACGCAAUACACAGAGUGUCACCAUACAGUAUCAGAAAGCUUCAGCCCAUACUGAGUAACACCAUAUCCCAUCAGAAGGCUUCAGGCACCUGCCCAUAUAGAGUAACAUCACACCACUUCAGAAGUCUGUAAGUGUCUGCACCUCUUGUUCUUCAAUCCAACCCUCAUGUCGAUGCACUGCACCUGCUCCCUUUGGUGGUUGGUCAGUGCCCUGGGCACUCCCUGGCUCAUUGCUGUCACUGCUGCUCACCUGCUCCUCACAGCUGUGCCCAUGGGGAUGAGGCUGGGCCAGCCCCACCCCAAUUAACACACACUGUGUGCCUACACACCUGUCUCUCAGAGUUAGCACAGGCAUGGACCCAUAGUAAGAUUUUUAAAUGCUUGUUUUCUCACAAUAAUAUGUUAUGUAUUUUGUUUUAUUCCCAUUACUAGGAGUAGGAAAAAAAAUGGGGAAAAUAGAUUUUAACUAAAUAGCAGAAAAAGACUAACCAGUGAGAUGUAACAGUUACCAUGUGUACAUAUAAAACCACUGAAAAAAGCAAACUUGUGUAUUUCAACUGUUAUACCAUGAGCAGAGAUGCAGAAACUUCAGUUUAAAAACAAAAGGGGAGCAUUUACUUAUUUACUGCCAUCACUUGCUUGCAGUGCAAUGAGAUGGCAAUUGAAGCGGACAAGGACACAACUAGAGAUCUUCAGGAACAGAGGACAACAGCUAGCAGGCCAUGCAAGACCCCUGACUUCUUAUCACUUGAUUUGCUGUCAGAUUCUGCAGACUGAACCUGCAAACAGAUACUUCAAAAUUCAUGUAAAACAUAAAGAGUCAAUCUGGCUAUAUGGUCACACCUCUGGAAAGCUGAAUUUCAUCUCUUUCUUUCACAUAUGCCAACCAUUUAACAAAGCAAAAAGACAGACAGAUCUACAGAAUAAGGACAAUAAAGUUUCCCAAAGUGGGCAAGCAGAGAUUCAUGUGCCAACUAUCACACCACAUUAAGAAGAAAUAUGUGGUAAGACUC